rnacentral:ncRNA from 2 species
UGGGGUGUGCGUGUGUAAGGUGCCCGACGGCGUUAGUGCCUAGGGUUAAACGGGAAACAGGUGCGUGACCGGCUCUCAUGCCGGUGCGACAAGGCCUGUGCUGCCCCCGCAACGGUAAGUGGACGCAAGGCGCAUCCAACCGCCACUGGACGGACGUCCGGGAAGGCGAUGCGACCGGUCCGGCGCUCGCGACGAGCGACGGCCAGCCCACGAGCCCGGAUACCGGCCUCGACACGCGAUGGCGG